UCCGUAGGUGGAUUAAUAAGUCAGAGGUGAAAUCCUGCAGCUUAACUGUAGAACUGCCUUUGAUACUGUUAAUCUUGAGUCAUUAUGAAGUGGUUAGAAUGUGUAGUGUAGCGGUGAAAUGCAUAGAUAUUACGCAGAAUACCGAUUGCGAAGGCAGAUCACUAAUAAUGUACUGACACUGAGGGACGAAAGCGUGGGGAGCGAACAGGAUUAGAUACCCUGGUAGUCC
rnacentral:rRNA from 1 species